rnacentral:rRNA from 1 species
AUUGAACGCUGGCGGAAUGCUUUACACAUGCAAGUCGAACGGCAGCACGGGGGCAACCCUGGUGGCGAGUGGCGAACGGGUGAGUAAUACAUCGGAACGUGCCCAGUCGUGGGGGAUAACGUAGCGAAAGUUACGCUAAUACCGCAUACGAUCUACGGAUGAAAGCGGGGGACCGUAAGGCCUCGCGCGAUUGGAGCGGCCGAUGUCAGAUUAGGUAGUUGGUGAGGUAAAGGCUCACCAAGCCGACGAUCUGUAGCUGGUCUGAGAGGACGACCAGCCACACUGGGACUGAGACACGGCCCAGACUCCUACGGGAGGCAGCAGUGGGGAAUUUUGGACAAUGGGCGCAAGCCUGAUCCAGCCAUUCCGCGUGCAGGACGAAGGCCUUCGGGUUGUAAACUGCUUUUGUACGGAACGAAAAGGCUCUGGUUAAUACCUGGGGCUCAUGACGGUACCGUAAGAAUAAGCACCGGCUAACUACGUGCCAGCCGCCGCCGUAA